rnacentral:rRNA from 1 species
GAUGAACGCUGGCGGCGUGCCUAAUACAUGCAAGUCGAGCGAACAGACGAGGAGCUUGCUCCUCUGACGUUAGCGGCGGACGGGUGAGUAACACGUGGAUAACCUACCUAUAAGACUGGGAUAACUUCGGGAAACCGGAGCUAAUACCGGAUAAUAUAUUGAACCGCAUGGUUCAAUAGUGAAAGACGGUUUUGCUGUCACUUAUAGAUGGAUCCGCGCCGCAUUAGCUAGUUGGUAAGGUAACGGCUUACCAAGGCAACGAUGCGUAGCCGACCUGAGAGGGUGAUCGGCCACACUGGAACUGAGACACGGUCCAGACUCCUACGGGAGGCAGCAGUAGGGAAUCUUCCGCAAUGGGCGAAAGCUUGACGGAGCAACGCCGCGUGAGUGAUGAAGGUCUUCGGAUCGUAAAGCUCUGUUAUUGGGGAAGAACAAAUGUGUAAGUAACUAUGCACGUCUUGACGGUACCUAAUCAGAAAGCCACGGCUAACUACGUG